AUUUUAUAUAAUUAUGAAAUUAAAAAAUACAGACUAAUUUUGUAUGUUAUUUUUAUUAAUUGAUAAUAUUUUUAGUUAAUCACUUUGUAAAGUCUUACAAAUGUUUAAAACAAAAGGAAAAUGCAACGACGGAUUUUUCUUUUGCAACUGAAGUAAUGAAACGCAAAAAAAAAAAGAAAAAUGACGUUAUGUUAUAUCAGCUGACAUACUUGAAUUCGCGCCGAAUGCAACAGUUUUAUCUUCUCAGAAUUUAUACAAUAACAACAAUAACGAAAGAAAUAUCACCGAUUUACUACCUACUAGAUCUAGAGAGUCGGAGGCUAGACAUGGAGGAGCGACUUGUUUCAGCAGUUAACAAGCUGGCUGGCUACAGCUGCUGAAGUUAAUAGCAAGGCCGCGGAUAUGCAAACAGAGUUGCUUCGGCUGCUGCUGGAGGAAGCUAGGUGAAGACCAAUAUAAGGUUAAAGAAUAGCAGCAUGACGAUUCUCAAGAACGAAGACACUAGAGAAACUAAGUUAAAAUACUUAAGU